rnacentral:rRNA from 1 species
CCUACGGGGUGCAGCAGUGAGGAAUAUUGGUCAAUGGGCGCGAGCCUGAACCAGCCAAGUCGCGUGAGGGAAGACGGUCCUAUGGAUUGUAAACCUCUUUUGUCGGGGAGCAAAAGACGCCACGCGGGGCGUUCCGAGAUUACCCGAAGAAAACGCAUCGGCUAACUCCGUGCCAGCGGCCGCGGUACUACGGGGGAUGCCAGCUUUCUCCGGAUUUAUGGGGUUUAAAGGGUGCGCAGGCGGAAGAUCAAGUCGGCGGUAAAAGUGAGAGGCUCAACCUCUUCGAGCCGUUGAAACUGGUUAUCUUGAGUGAGCGAGAAGUAUGCGGAAUGCGUGGUGUAGCGGUGAAAUGCAUAGAUAUCACGCAGAACUCCGAUUGCGAAGGCAGCAUACCGGCGCUCAACUGACGCUCAUGCACGAAAGUGUGGGUAUCGAACAGGAUUAGAUACCCUGGUAGUC